GGGGCUGUAGCUCAGUGUAGAGCACUUGCUUAGUAUGCAUGAGGCACUCGGUUCCAUCCACAGCACCA
rnacentral:tRNA from 1 species